rnacentral:rRNA from 1 species
GCGCGAAAACUUUACAAUGCUGGCAACAGCGAUAAGGGAACCUCGAGUGCCAGGUUACAAAUCUGGCUGUCGAGAUGCCUAAAAAGCAUUCCAUAGCGAGGGCCGGGCAAGACCGGUGCCAGCCGCCGCGGUAACACCGGCGGCUCGAGUGGUAACCGUUAUUAUUGGGUCUAAAGGGUCUGUAGCCGGCCGGAUAAGUCUCUUGAGAAAUCUGGCAGCUUAACUGUCAGGCUUUCAGGAGAUACUGUCUGGCUCGAGGCCGGGAGAGGUGAGAGGUACUUCAGGGGUAGGGGUGAAAUCUUGUAAUCCUUGAAGGACCACCAGUGGCGAAGGCGUCUCACCAGAACGGACCUGACGGCAAGGGACGAAAGCCAGGGUAGCAAACG